CGGCCCUUACCGUUUAAUACAUG
ensembl:miRNA mir-5592.1 ncRNA